rnacentral:rRNA from 1 species
CCUACGGGAGACAGCAGUGGGGAAUAUUGGGCAAUGGGGGCAAGCCUGACCCAGCAACGCCGCGUGAAGGAAGAAGGCUUUCGGGUUGUAAACUUCUUUUGUCAGGGACGAAGCAAGUGACGGUACCUGACGAAUAAGCCACGGCUAACUACGUGCCAGCAGCCGCGGUAAUACGGAGGUGGCAAGCGUUCACCGGAUUUAUUGGGUGUAAGGGCGUGUAGGCGGGAAUGCAAGUCAGAUGUGAAAACCAUGGGCUCAACCCAUAGCCUGCAUUUGAAACUGUAUGUCUUGAGUGCUGGAGAGGCAAGCGGAAUUCCGGGUGUAGCGGUGAAAUGCGUAGAUAUACGGAGGAACACCAGUGGCGAAGGCGGAUUGCUGGACAGUAACUGACGCUGAGGCGCGAAAGCGUGGGGAGCAAACAGGAUUAGAUACCCCAGUAGUC